rnacentral:rRNA from 1 species
GAUGAACGCUGGCGGCGUGCCUAAUACAUGCAAGUCGAGCGAACGGACGAGAAGCUUGCUUCUCUGAUGUUAGCGGCGGACGGGUGAGUAACACGUGGAUAACCUACCUAUAAGACUGGGAUAACUUCGGGAAACCGGAGCUAAUACCGGAUGAUAUUUUGAACCGCAUGGUUCAAAAGUGAAAGACGGUCUUGCUGUCACUUAUAGAUGGAUCCGCGCUGCAUUAGCUAGUUGGUAAGGUACCGGCUUACCAAGGCAACGAUGCAUAGCCGACCUGAGAGGGUGAUAGGCCACACUGGAACUGAGACACGGUCCAGACUCCUACGGGAGGCAGCAGUAGGAAAUCUUCCGCAAUGGGCGAAAGCCUGACGGAGCAACGCCGCGUGAGUGGUGAAGGUCUUCGGAUCGUAAAACUCUGUUAUUAGGGAAGAACAUAUGUGUAAGGAACUGUGCACAUCUUGACGGUACCUAAUCAGAAAGCCACGGCUAACUACGUG